rnacentral:rRNA from 1 species
GAUGAACGCUGGCGGCGUGCCUAAUACAUGCAAGUCGAGCGAACAGACGAGGAGCUUGCUCCUCUGACGUUAGCGGCGGACGGGUGAGUAACACGUGGAUAACCUACCUAUAAGACUAGGAUAACUUCGGGAAACCGGAGCUAAUACCGGAUAAUAUAUUGAACCGCAUGGUUCAAUAGUGAAAGACGGUUUUGCUGUCACUUAUAGAUGGAUCCGCGCCGCAUUAGCUAGUUGGUAAGGUAACGGCUUACCAAGGCAACGAUGCGUAGCCGACCUGAGAGGGUGAUCGGCCACACUGGAACUGAGACACGGUCCAGACUCCUACGGGAGGCAGCAGUAGGGAAUCUUCCGCAAUGGGCGAAAGCCUGACGGAGCAACGCCGCGUGAAUGAUGAAGGUCUUCGGAUCGUAAAACUCUGUUAUUAGGGAAGAACAAAUGUGUAAGUAACUAUGCACGUCUUGACGGUACCUAAUCAGAAAGCCACGGCUAACUACGUG